CGUGUAGGCGGCUGAGCAAGUCAGAUGUGAAAUCCCUGGGCUUAACCCAGGAAGUGCAUUUGAAACUGUUCAGCUUGAGUAGGGAAGAGGGAAGUGGAAUUCCUGGUGUAGAGGUGAAAUUCGUAGAUAUCAGGAGGAACACCGGUGGCGAAGGCGACUUCCUGGUCCUAUACUGACGCUGAGACGCGAGAGCGUGGGGAGCAAACA
rnacentral:rRNA from 1 species